rnacentral:rRNA from 1 species
CAGUAGCCACGGUAAUACAGAGGGUGCAAGCGUUAAUCGGAAUUACUGGGCGUAAAGUGCGCGUAGGUGGUUUGUUAAGUUGGAUGUGAAAUCCCCGGGCUCAACCUGGGAACUGCAUCCAAAACUGGCAAGCUAGAGUAUGGUAGAGGGUGGUGGAAUUUCCUGUGUAGCGGUGAAAUGCGUAGAUAUAGGAAGGAACACCAGUGGCGAAGGCGACCACCUGGACUGAUACUGACACUGAGGUGCGAAAGCGUGGGGAGCAAACAGGAUUAGAUACCCGCGUAGUCCCUGUCUCUUAUAC